AAACAUUGUGUUUGCCAUUUCUGAACCCAUAAUCUCCCCUUCUUCCCCACCAUGUCUUUGCUAAUAGAACCUCUGUUUUCUAAUAGAACCUCUGUUUUCUUUAGGUAUCCAUGGCUUUCUCACAGUCAUGGGACUCUGAGGAAAAAGGACCCCAUCCUGCUUUUUUGGUUUUUUUUUGUUUUUGAGGUGGAGUUUUGCUCUUGAGCUGGAAACCAUCAUUCUCAGCAAACGAUCGCAAAGACAAAGAACCAAACAUCGCAUGUUCUCACUCACAGGUGGGAAUUGAACAAUGAGAAUUGAGGGUGGAGGAAUUAAAAAUAGAUGGGAGGAUGGGAGGAGGGAGAGGAUCAGGAAAAAUAAUGGGUACUAGGAUUAAUAACCAGGUGACAAAAUAAUCUGUACAACAAACUCCUAUGACUCAAGUUUACCUAUGUAACAAACCUGCACAUGUACCCCUGAACUUAAAACAAAAGUUGAAUAGGGAAUAAAAUAAAAAAUAAAGAAAUGAAAAAGAUGAUUUCAGAUAGUAUUGUAUUCAAUUAAAUAAAUGGCAGCAUGAUCAUCUAGAGAUUGGAGGUGUCUGGAAGGCCCAAGGAGGGACAGUUUUAGCUUCUCCCUGAGUGAUUAAAAGGAGCCAGCAGGAAAACGGCAGUGGGGGAAGGAGAUAGUCUGGGCAAAGACAAAAGCCCAGAUAUAGGUAUUUAUAAUAGAGAAAAUUAAUGAAGCAAACCUACCCUCAGAAGGGGGUUACUUAAAAGGUAUGGUACAUCCAUAUGACAGAAUACUACAGAAUGGAUUAAAGCUUUUUAAAAGGAAAUGGAAAAAUGCUCAUAAUAUAUCACUUCAGAAAAAGCUGAAUGUAAAACAACUAUAAACAUGCUCAUAGGAGAAAUACUGGAAGCAAAUAUAAAAUAUUAGCAGUGAUUAUAUCUGGUUAUUUCCAGGUAUAGGACCACAGAUGGCUUUACAUUUUUUUAUGUGCUUUUCAGUAUAUAUGUACACAGUAUGUGCAUACAGUAUAUAUAUACACUGUGUAUAUAUACACUGUGUAUAUAUAUACAAGUAUAUAUGUAUACACAGUAUAUAUGUAUACACAGUAUAUAUAUACACAGUAUAUAUGUAUACACAGUAUAUAUAUACACAGUAUAUAUAUACUUGCAGAUGACCUCUGCAGACUUAAAUGUCCCUGUGUGACAGCUUUGAAGAGAGUAGUGUUUCUCCCAGCAUGCA
rnacentral:lncRNA from 1 species